rnacentral:rRNA from 1 species
GAUGAACGCUGGCGGCGUGCCUAAUACAUGCAAGUCGAGCGAACUGAUUAGAAGCUUGCUUCUAUGACGUUAGCGGCGGACGGGUGAGUAACACGUGGGUAAUCUGCCUGUAAGACUGGGAUAACUUCGGGAAACCGAAGCUAAUACCGGAUAGGAUCUUCUCCUUCAUGGGAGAUGAUUGAAAGAUGGUUUCGGCUAUCACUUACAGAUGGGCCCGCGGUGCAUUAGCUAGUUGGUGAGGUAACGGCUCACAAAGGCAACGAUGCAUAGCCGCCAUGGGAGGGUGAUCGGCCACACUGUGACUGAGAAACGGCCCAGACUCCUACGGGAGGCAGCAGGAGGGAAUCUUCCGAAGUGGACGAAAGUCUGACGGGGCAACGCCGCGUGAGUGAUGAAGGCUUUCGGGUCGUAAAACUCUGUUGUUAGGGAAGAACAAGUACAAGAGUAACUGCUUGUACCUUGACGGUACCUAACCAGAAAGCCACGGCUAACUACGUGCCAGCCGCCGCAGUAAGAC